ACUUCCUUUUCAUCUCCAUCUCAGCUGUGUGUUGGCAUUGCGCUCAAUUGAAAAAGUCACUUUAGAGAUUUCACUACAAUUCAGAGUACACAGCAAUUAACCAAAACAACUUUUGUUAAAUUACUGUGAGACUUUCAAAAGGGCAGGAGGAGUGCUUUUUCAUUCAAAUACUCGUCGUAUCAUCAGUGAAGUUAGUAUCCGAUAUUGCCGUGACAGUGUUUUAACCUGACAGACGGAAUGGGGGACGUUGUGGAGGAAAUUAUUGCAGAACCUGAAGAUCCAGGGGUUCUAGCUACCACGUUUGCCUUUGUUCAUCACCUUGUUCGCAGUUAUGGAUGGUACUUGGUGUUGGGUUUGAUCGGUUCCUAUUACCUGUUGCGAAAUCGAUGGAGAGCUACUGCUGCCCUCGAACAGCCAAAAACUCCGCAAGAAAUCGAAGCGCUAAGGUCAAAAGAAGAGCAGAGACUAAAAUCUAUUCAGCGAUUGCAGAAAAAAUACGAAGAAGAUGCUGCCAUUAAGGCUGAGAAACAGAAAUUAUUAGAUGAGCAGAAACAACAAACCAGACUAGCAGAACUGGAGAAACUAACAAAGGAGGCAGAUGGUCAAAAGUUGGGCAACGGUGCUGCUCCCGGUACUUCCAAGAAGUCGUUACGACCUGGUCAGUCAUAAUCGCUCAUCAGCAAAUCGCGCUAUAUUCAUAUACCUUGCUAAAUGGACUAGAUUAUUCGAAAUUACGGGCUUAAAUAACAAUACAAUCCAUUAAUGGGUAAUUCUUCCAGUGAUCGCGUCUGCUUCCGUCGACCAGGGGGUUCUGGUGGAUGAGGUUAAGGUGCGACACAUUGCAAUGUGAAAUUGAUUUCCGAGCUGCGUCGGAGUUAAUUGAAUAAUGUGUCCCUUUAUUAUUUAAUCCCUUUCUAAAUUUCCGUGCCGUUGAUAUUAACUUAUUAUGUGAGUCCCACAUAUUUAAGGGCCCGGGGGAAGAUUUACUUUUCGAAAAUUGAUUUUAUGUUAGCAACAAUAAUUGCUAGGAAUCUAGGAUUAUUUAUCACUCUAUAAAGUUACGACCACAAUUAAUUGACACCAUUUCUAUGGUACACUCACGUCCAAAAGCUUUUGUUUGAUCACUUUUCCCUCAAGUUUUUGAAAAAAGUUGUUUUCUUUUGUUCCAUGGAUAUUCAAAAUGCAAUUCAUGCCAUCAGUUUUGUAAUUCUAAGCCAAUUUGUGCUCACUUUAUGACCAAAUAUCUCCACUGCGCAAGAGGGCACAUUGUCAAAAAAAAAGUUAGUAAAACCUAAAGAUAUGAUUAACAAAUUAAACAUAAUUUGAAAAAUGUGCCCUCUUGCGCAUUGCUGAAUUUUAUGGUCAAAGUUGACAUGAUUUCUAAGCAACUUCCCCCGGGCCCAAUUACCAUAUAAAAUCAAGCUAUAAGUUGUAGAAUUUCUUACACUAUUAUUAUGAUACCGUAUUUAAGUUUGACCUAUUCAUGUAAUUAAACCAAUUGUCGUCUUUCUGUGAAACACUCUGCGUAAAUGAGCUCACGUAUCAUGGCGGAGUGUGGAUUAUACUAAAUAAAGGCGAAUUUGUGUUCAUAUAUUGUCAAACA